rnacentral:rRNA from 1 species
CUACGGGUCGCUGCAGACGAGAAAACUUUGCAAUGUGCGAAAGCACGACAAGGUUAAUCCGAGUGGUUUCUGCUAAAGGAACCUUUUGACAGUCCUAGAAACACUGUUGAAUAAGGGGUGGGCAAGUUCUGGUGUCAGCCGCCGCGGUAAAACCAGCACCUCAAGUGGUCAGGAUGAUUAUUGGGCCUAAAGCAUCCGUAGCCGGCUCUAUUAGUUUUCGGUUAAAUCUGUGCGCUCAACGUACAGGCUGCCGGGAAUACUGUAGAGCUAGGGAGUGGGAGAGGUAGACGGUACUCGGUAGGAAGGGGUAAAAUCCUUUGAUCUAUUGAUGACCACCUGUGGCGAAGGCGGUCUACCAGAACACGUCCGACGGUGAGGGAUGAAAGCUGGGGGAGCAAACCGGAUUAGAUACCCCGGUAGUC